GAUGAACGCUGGCGGCGUGCCUAAUACAUGCAAGUCGAGCGAACAGACGAGGAGCUUGCUCCUCUGACGUUAGCGGCGGACGGGUAAGUAACACGUGGAUAGCCUACCUAUAAGACUGGGAUAACUUCGGGAAACCGGAGCCAAUACCGGAUAAUAUAUUGAACCGCAUGGUUCAAUAGUGAAAGACGGUUUUGCUGUCACUUAUAGAUGGAUCCGCGCCGCAUUAGCUAGUUGGUAAGGUAACGGCUUACCAAGGCAACGAUGCGUAGCCGACCUGAGAGGGUGAUCGGCCACACUGGAACUGAGACACGGUCCAGACUCCUACGGGAGGCAGCAGUAGGGAAUCUUCCGCAAUGGGCGAAAGCCUGACGGAGCAACGCCGCGUGAGUGAUGAAGGUCUUCGGAUCGUAAAACUCUGUUAUUAGGGAAGAACAAAUGUGUAAGUAACUAUGCACGUCUUGACGGUACCUAAUCAGAAAGCCACGGCUAACUACGUG
rnacentral:rRNA from 1 species